rnacentral:rRNA from 1 species
AGAACGAACGCUGGCGGCAUGCCUAAUACAUGCAAGUCGAACGAACACUUCGGUGUUAGUGGCGCACGGGUGCGUAACGCGUGGGAAUCUGCCCUUGGGUUCGGAAUAACAGUUGGAAACGACUGCUAAUACCGGAUGAUAUCGAAAGAUCAAAGAUUUAUCGCCCAGGGAUGAGCCCGCGUAGGAUUAGCUAGUUGGUGAGGUAAAGGCUCACCAAGGCGACGAUCCUUAGCUGGUCUGAGAGAUGAUCAGCCACACUGGACUGAGACACGGCCCAGACU